UCACAACUCAUUUAUAAUACCCUCUUUAGUGGGGUACAGGUGUCACCGUCCGGUUCUCCCCUGGUGAGUGGGAGACAAACUCUGUCAACCUUUUAAUUUCCUUCUCUCGUGAUCCGUGCAGCAGCNGCAGAGCAGUGAACCCCAGCAAGUGAAAGUCAGGUGUCACGCUGAGAGUUGGCCAACCGUUCGGAUUGGAGGCAGUAUUUAAGGUAAGAAUGAAGACCUGACGCCACUUUUGCAUGCAANCUUCUUCUUCUUCCUCAAACUUAACCUUCUGAGAAUCUCAAACUCUCCUCCUUCUCUCUAAAACCUCCCUACCUUCUCUCUAAAANUCUAACUCAUAUACUGUUCCGAUCACCCUUCAGAUCACACCUAAAGACUCUUGGUGGUCUCCUCUUUCACUUGAACCGUCCAGUUUCAAGUUUGCACCUGACUUUGGGGGAAACUUAGAAGAACAGUUGCUAUNAACCUACUUUCAAAGACUUAGCUGGAAAUUAGAGGUAAGGGAAGCUUAUAAAGUUUAAUUUAUGAUUUUCUGUAUGGUUGAAAGUAUGCCUGAUUUAAUGCACGUUUGAUAUCUAAAGUAUGUUGCUUGAUUUUCUUAUGAUUUGAAUAUGGUAUGUCGUUGUAUGAGUUGUAUGAUAAGUAUGAACUAUGAAUUCUGCACUGAUAAGAAUAUGUAUGGAACUUAGAAGAAAAUGUGAAUCUGAGACCGAAGGUCAUUAGGACUGUUCGGUCUUCCCUGUUCCGUUUGGUCUACAAACUGAUCGGCCUAGUAUAGUUACUANAACUAAAUUGGUUUCCUUUAAGUGUCCCUUUGAUAGCUAUUUAAGAAUGUUGGUCAUAAACCAAGCGUUCGGUAUUCCAAGUGUUUGGCCUUAGGCUGACACUUGAAUUUAUAAAAAAUUGUAAAUCUGAUACUCUUCCUUUUGAAACCGUCCGGUCACUUACUGGCUGAAUGGUCUAGUGAAUCCUUUAAUUAUUGAGACGUCUAGUUUACUUGACUAAACCCUUUUACUCCUUUAAAGAGUUCCUUAUUUCUCAAUCCAUCCGGUCGGAUAAGUGUUUGGUCAUAGACCAACCUUUGACCAGUUUAAUUCCUAUUUUAUGAUAUUAUUGUCAAACCGUUCGGAUGACUAUCAUUCAUAGUAAAUCCUUAAGCUACGAUCUCAUUCUUUAUCUAAUCAUUCUAUAUAUCAUUGACAUAUCUUUGUUAUUCAGUCUUACCUUUGCUAUGACCGUCCGGUCAGCUACUUGAAUUCUUGAUACUCAUCUUACCCUUUUGAUUUAAACCGUUCGGUCACUAUUGGUUAUAAUUCCGUAUUGGAUAUUUGGUACUCCUAUCAACACCCUAACAGUUUGAAAGAAAUAAUGAACAUUGGUUGAAUUUGACUAAGUAAGAGAAUUCCACUGGCGGAAUGACUCAUGAAUUGGUAUUGAUUGGUAAAGUAUGGAUGUGGGAAUGAC
rnacentral:lncRNA from 1 species